rnacentral:rRNA from 1 species
CGGGGGGAGCAAGCGUUGUUCGGAUUUACUGGGCGUAAAGGGCGCGUAGGCGGCCACCGCAAGUCGACUGUGAAACCUCCGGGCUUAACCCGGAAAGGUCAGCCGAUACUGCGGGGCUAGAGUGCAGAAGGGGCAACUGGAAUUCUCGGUGUAGCGGUGAAAUGCGUAGAUAUCGAGAGGAACACCUGCGGCGAAGGCGGGUUGCUGGGCUGACACUGACGCUGAUGCGCGAAAGCUAGGGGAGCGAACGGGAUUAGAUACCCCGGUAGUCCUAGCCUUAAACGAUGAAUGCUUGGUGUCUGGGGUUUUAUAGUCCCCGGGUGCCGUCGCUAACGCUUUAAGCAUUCCGCCUGGGGAGUACGGUCGCAAGACUG